UCUCGGAUUGGCUUUGGGAAGCCGGCGACGGCAUCCUAUUGCUGAGAAGCUGAUCAAACUUGGUCAUUUAGAGGAAGUAAAAGUCGUAACAAGGUUUCCGUAGGUGAACCUGCGGAAGGAUCAUUAUUGAAUAAACUUGGUUGGGUUGUUGCUGGCUUUUCGGAGCAUGUGCACGCCUAGCGCCAUUUUUACCACCUGUGCACUUCUUGUAGAUUUGAGACACCUCUCGAGGAAACUCGGUUUGAGGACUGCUGUGCGCAAGCUAAGCUUUCCUUGCGUUUCAGGUCUAUGUUUUUAUAUACCCCAUAAGAAUGUUUUAGAAUGUCAUUAAUGGGCUUCAUUGCCUCUAAAUUAAUACAACUUUCAACAACGGAUCUCUUGGCUCUCGCAUCGAUGAAGAACGCAGCGAAAUGCGAUAAGUAAUGUGAAUUGCAGAAUUCAGUGAAUCAUCGAAUCUUUGAACGCACCUUGCGCUCCUUGGUAUUCCGAGGAGCAUGCCUGUUUGAGUGUCAUUAAAUUCUCAACCUUUUCAGCUUUUGCGAGCUGGAUUGGCUUGGAUGUGGGGGUUUGCGGGCUUCUCAGAAGUCGGCUCCUCUUAAAUACAUUAGCNGAACCUUUGUGGACCAGCUUUGGUGUGAUAAUUAUCUACGCCAUGGUUGUGAAGCAGCUUUAUAUGGGGUUCAGCUUCUAAYCGUCCAUUGACUUGGACAAUUUCUGACAUUUUGACCUCAAAUCAGGUAGGACUACCCGCUGAACUUAAGCAUAUCAAUAAGCGGAGGAAAAGAAACUAACAAGGAUUCCCCUAGUAACUGCGAGUGAAGCGGGAAAAGCUCAAAUUUAAAAUCUGGCGGUCCUUGUGGCUGUCCGAGUUGUAAUCUAGAGAAGUGCUAUCCGCGCUGG
rnacentral:rRNA from 1 species